AGUGAGCGCUGGCGGUAGGCCUAACACAUGCAAGUCUAACGGCAGCACAGUAAGAGCUUGCUCUUACGGGUGGCGAGUGGCGGACGGGUGAGGAAUACAUCGGAAUCUACUUUUUCGUGGGGGAUAACGUAGGGAAACUUACGCUAAUACCGCAUACGACCUACGGGUGAAAGCAGGGGAUCUUCGGACCUUGCGCGAUUGAAUGAGCCGAUGUCGGAUUAGCUAGUUGGCGGGGUAAAGGCCCACCAAGGCGACGAUCCGUAGCUGGUCUGAGAGGAUGAUCAGCCACACUGGAACUGAGACACGGUCCAGACUCCUACGGGAGGCAGCAGUGGGGAAUAUUGGACAAUGGGCGCGAGCCUGAUCCAGCCAUACCGCGUGGGUGAAGAAGGCCUUCGGGUUGUAAAGCCCUUUUGUUGGGAAAGAAAAGCAGCAGGUUAAUACCCCGCUGUUCUGACGGUACCCAAAGAAUGAGCACCGGCUAACUUCGUG
rnacentral:rRNA from 1 species